rnacentral:misc_RNA from 1 species
GAGCAUUCUGUACCUUCAAAGAAAACAGUUCACCAAACCAAAGAAAAAGGAGGAUCAAAGAGACUACCGUAUUUUUGGGGAAUACUAAUUGAAAUUGAUGGUGUUAAUUUCCCAGCCGUUUAGAUAACAAAAUGUCUUCUACUGAAAAAGGGUUAUAAGUAAAUGGUGAUUGUGUAUGGGGGAAAAUUGCUUACAAGGCCACGAACAUUUGUUACUAAACUCUUCUGCAGGAGAAACUAGCUGAAGAUUGUGAUGGAAGGAUGCGUCAAAUGCUUGUGCAUCCAAUACUAGCUAUUUAUAGGUCAGCUCACUGUCCUUGUCCAUAAAUUUGGCCAGCUCUUUAGCCUUCUCGUCAUCAAAACCAAGUGUAGACAUUAUUAUAUGCCCAGCUGAUUCCUUUACUGACCAAAUACCAAGAACAAUAUGUGUGACGGUUAUUUCCCCAUCUUCACCUGAUUUCAAUUUCUCAUUGACUGCCCAGUCAAGAGCCUUCCGAGCUGGUUUAGUAAGGGGAGGAGACUCUGGAUUGGAAUAAUACAUGUCGGAUUUUCCAAGCAACUUCAGUGUUUCUUCACUCACCUUGAAAAAGGUUAUACCAUUUGCUCUCAAAAACUUGGCAGCCAAACUGGUCCCUUCAACUAAGAUGCCCAUUAAAAGAGCUUCAGUGCCAGUACUUGGGUACUUGAUCUUCCUUGCUUCUAAUUCAGCCAUUACGAAUGCCUGUAUUGCUCUUGACGACCAUUUGGGCUGUUUCUCAUAACCCUCUGGUUUCGUAAUAGGGAGGCUGAAGGCAACCGUUGCUACUGUAGAACGACGACGUUUGGGAGUAACACUGUUCAAAUUCUGCGGCCGAAUCAAGAGCUUCCCGCCGGUAAAACUAGUAGCCAGAGCUUUACAAUACUUAUGGGUUAAAAAAGUAUUAGUAUUCUCACUUUGUUUGUUGCUAGAAUUGGAAGUUAAAGACUGGAUUGGAAGUAAUGAAAAACUGUGAGUCGCCAUUGGAGUAGAAGAAAACCCUAAAAAUGUAGAGAAACUAAUUUGAUUCUUGUCCCCUCCCGCACAGAAUUUUCUACUUUUGUAGCUGCUAUAAAUGUA